GGCUGGUCUGAUGGUAGUGGGUUAUCAGAACUUAUUAACGUUAGUGUCACUAAAGUUGGUAUUCAACCCGCCAGUGCUAAAUUUGACUGGCUUUAA
rnacentral:Y_RNA from 1 species